rnacentral:rRNA from 1 species
GGAUGACCUUGCGUCCCAUUAGCUUGUUGGCGGGGUAACGGCCCACCAAGGCUACGAUGGGUAUCCGGCCUGAGAGGGUGUACGGACACAUUGGGACUGAGAUACGGCCCAGACUCCUACGGGAGGCAGCAGUAGGGAAUUUUGCGCAAUGGGGGAAACCCUGACGCAGCAACGCCAUGUGUGGGAUGAAGCAUUUCGGUGUGUAAACCACUGUCAGCGGGGAAUAAACGACAGCUUCGGGCUGUUUUGAAUGUACCCGCAAAGGAAGCCCCGGCUAACUUCGUGCCAGCAGCCGCGGUAAUACGAGGGGGGCGAGCGUUGUUCGGAAUUAUUGGGCGUAAAGAGCUCGUAGGCGGUGUGUCGCGUCGGCCGUGAAAACCUGCAGCUUAACUGUGGGCUUGCGGUCGAUGCGGGCAUCACUGGAGUUCGGCAGGGGAGACUGGAAUUCCUGGUGUAGCGGUGAAAUGCGCAGAUAUCAGAGGAACACCGGUGGCGAAAGCGGGUCUCUGGGCCGAUACUGACGCUGAGAGCGAAAGCGUGGGGAGCGAACAGGAUUAGAUACCCUGGUAGUCCACGCCGUAAACGGUGGGCGCUAGGUGUGGGGGCCAUUCCACGGUCUCUGUGCCGUAGCUAACGCAUUAAGCGCCCCGCCUGGGGAGUACGGCCGCAAGGCUAAA